rnacentral:rRNA from 1 species
ACGAACGCUGGCGGCGUGCCUAAUACAUGCAAGUUGAGCGCUGAAGGUUGGUACUUGUACCAACUGGAUGAGCAGCGAACGGGUGAGUAACGCGUGGGGAAUCCGCCUUUGAGCGGGGGACAACAUUUGGAAACGAAUGCUAAUACCGCAUAAAAACUUUAAACACAAGUUUUAAGUUUGAAAGAUGCAAUUGCAUCACUCAAAGAUGAUCCCGCGUUGUAUUAGCUAGUUGGUGAGGUAAAGGCUCACCAAGGCGAUGAUACAUAGCCGACCUGAGAGGGUGAUCGGCCACAUUGGGACUGAGACACGGCCCAAACUCCUACGGGAGGCAGCAGUAGGGAAUCUUCGGCAAUGGACGAAAGUCUGACCGAGCAACGCCGCGUGAGUGAAGAAGGUUUUCGGAUCGUAAAACUCUGUUGGUAGAGAAGAACGUUGGUGAGAGUGGAAAGCUCAUCAAGUGACGGUAACUACCCAGAAAGGGACGGCUAACUACGUG